rnacentral:rRNA from 1 species
GCGGUGAAAUGCGUAGAUAUCGAGAGGAACACCUGCGGCGAAGGCGGGUUGCUGGGCUGACACUGACGCUGAGGCGCGAAAGCUAGGGGAGCGAACGGGAUUAGAUACCCCGGUAGUCCUAGCCUUAAACGAUGAAUGCUUGGUGUCUGGGGUUUUAUAGUCCCCGGGUGCCGUCGCUAACGCAUUAAGCAUUCCGCCUGGGGAGUACGGUCGCAAGGCUGAAACUCAAAUGAAUUGACGG